rnacentral:rRNA from 1 species
CCUACGGGAGGCAGCAGUGGGGAAUAUUGGACAAUGGGCGCAAGCCUGAUCCAGCCAUACCGCGUGUGUGAAGAAGGCCUUCGGGUUGUAAAGCACUUUAAGCAGGGAGAAAAAGUUAUAAGUUAAUACCUUAUAACCGUGAUGUUACCUGCAGAAUAAGCACCGGCUAAUUCCGUGCCAGCAGCCGCGGUAAUACGGAAGGUGCAAGCGUUAAUCGGAAUUACUGGGCGUAAAGCGCGCGUAGGUGGUUUGUUAAGUUGGAUGUGAAAGCCCUGGGCUCAACCUAGGAACUGCAUCCAAAACUAACUCACUAGAGUACGAUAGAGGGAGGUAGAAUUCAUAGUGUAGCGGUGGAAUGCGUAGAUAUUAUGAAGAAUACCAGUGGCGAAGGCGGCCUCCUGGAUCUGUACUGACACUGAGGUGCGAAAGCGUGGGUAGCGAACAGGAUUAGAUACCCUGAUAGUCCACGCCGUAAACGAUGACAACUAGCUGUUGGAAGACAAUGUCUUUCAGUGGCGCAGCUAACGUUUUAAGUUGUCCGCCUGGGGAGUACGGCCGCAAGGCUAAAACUCAAAUGAAUUGACGGA